rnacentral:rRNA from 1 species
AACAAGGAUUCCCCUAGUAACUGCGAGUGAAGCGGGAAAAGCUCAAAUUUAAAAUCUGGCGGUCUCUGGCCGUCCGAGUUGUAAUCUAGAGAAGUAAUGCCCGUGCUGGACCGUGUAUAAGUCUCCUGGGAUGGGGCGUCAUAGAGGGUGAGAAUCCCGUCUUUGACACGGACUACCAGUGCAUUGUGGUAUGCUCUCAAAGAGUCGAGUUGUUUGGGAAUGCAGCUCAAAAUGGGUGGUAAAUUCCAUCUAAAGCUAAAUAUUGGCGAGAGACCGAUAGCGAACAAGUACCGUGAGGGAAAGAUGAAAAGAACUUUGGAAAGAGAGUUAAACAGUACGUGAAAUUGCUGAAAGGGAAACGCUUGAAGUCAGUCGCGUUGGCCAGGGAUCAGCCUUGCUCUUGCAUGGUGUACUUUCUGGUUGACGGGUCAGCAUCAAUUUUGACCGCUGGAAAAGGGCCUGGGGAAUGUGGCAGCUUCGGCUGUGUUAUAGCCCCUAGUCGCAUACAGUGGUUGGGAUUGAGGAACUCAGCACGCCGCAAGGCCGGGUUUCGACCACGUUCGUGCUUAGGAUGCUGGCAUUA